rnacentral:rRNA from 1 species
CUGGUAGUCCACGCUGUAAACGAUGUCGAUUUGGAGUUUGUUGCCUAGAGUGAUGGGCUCCGAAGCUAACGCGAUAAAUCGACCGCCUGGGAGUACGGCCGCAAGGUAAACUCAAAUGAAAUGACGGGGGCCCGCACAGCGGUGGAGCAUGUGGUUUAUUCGAUGCAACGCGAAGAACCUUACUUGGUCUUGACAUCCAUAGAAUUCUGCAGAGAUGUGGGAGUGCCUUCGGGAACUAUGAGACAGGUGCUGCAUGGCUGUCGUCAGCUCGUGUUGUGAAAUGUUGGGUUAAGUCCCGCAACGAGCGCAACCCUUAUUCUUUGUUGCCAGCGAUUUGGUCGGGAACUCAAAGGAGACUGCCGUUGAUAAAGCGGAGGAAGGUGGGGACGACGUCAAGUCAUCAUGGCCCUUACGACCAGGGCUACACACGUGCUACAAUGGCGUAUACAAAGGGAAGCGAAGGUGCGAGCUGGAGCGGAUCUCAUAAAGUACGUCUAAGUUCGGAUUGGAGUCUGCAACUCGACUCCAUGAAGUCGGAAUCGCUAGUAAUCGUAGAUCAGAAUGCUACGGUGAAUACGUUCCCGGGCCUUGUACACACCGCCCGUCACACCAUGGGAGUGGGUUGCACCAGAAGUAGAUAGCUUAACCGCGAGGGGGGCGUUUACCACGGUGUGAUUCAUGACUGGGGUGAAGUCGUAACAAGGUAACCA